rnacentral:rRNA from 1 species
GACGAACCGUGCGAACGUUGUUCGGAAUCACUGGGCUUAAAGGGCGCGUAGGCGGGUGACCAAGUCAGGGGUGAAAUCUUUCGGCCCAACCGGAAAAGUGCCUCUGAUACUGGUCGUCUUGAGGGAGGUAGGGGUCGAGGGAACUGGUGGUGGAGCGGUGAAAUGCGUAGAUAUCACGAGGAACGCCGGUGGCGAAAGCGCUCGACUGGACCUCUUCUGACGCUGAGGCGCGAAAGCCAGGGGAGCAAACGGG